AUAAAAAGACAAAAAUAGAAACAAAUUGACGUAAGAUACUAGUACUCUUGCGAACACAUGUAUAUUUACAUUUUUUUUAUAACUAAAGAAAAUAGAAUAAAUAUAUUUAAAAUAAUGUAUAAAUUUAAACACGGGUAAAAUGUGUUUAUUUAUGUUAUUAAUAUUUAUUUAUACAAUUAAAAUAAUAUUUACAAAUAUUAUAUUAUUAGUUGAUAUUUAAAAAAUUAAAUGAUUGUAUAAAUAAUUUAUAAAUAAUAAAA
rnacentral:lncRNA from 1 species